CAGACAGUGCUUUGAAUAUGGGAAUCUUUUUAUUUACAGGCCAGAGACAGCCCAGUGGAGUCACAGCUCCGAGGGAUCUCAUUGUGCCUGCUGCAAUGUACUUCAUGGAUGGGCAGGACCUCACAGGCAAAGAGAAGAGACAUAAUUCAGCAGCUGCCUGAAGACAGUCCUGGUUGAAUGUAUCAUGUCACAAGUCAAGCUGAAUGCCAGGGGAGACACUCCAGAUGGACUCAGUCUGGCACUUCUGACUCUGGAAAAAAACAGCUGAGGUCAAAUCUUAAUGCUACUGAAUCUGAGACGCCUUAAGUCUCUUGAAGUAUCCUAGUGCCAGCCUUCACAGCACACCUGUUGGAUUUCCAUGGCUGCUGUUUUGUAUUUGUCAUCUUCUGUUUGAGAGGCGUUUCCGUAAGUAACAGUAGAACCAUGUGUAAUCCUCCCCUUGGCCCUUCUUAAAUCUCAUCUUUCUUUGGGUACCAAAGAGAGGGUGAGAACAGUUAGGAUCUGCAUCUACUUCUGCUGGCCAAUAUCUCUCCCCUCCUAACGUGCUUCUCUUUCUGGACCUUUCAGA